AUUGAACGCUGGCGGCAGGCCUAACACAUGCAAGUCGAGCGAGCGGCGGACGGGAGAGUAAUGUAUGGGGAUAUGCCCGAUAGAGGGGGAUAACUACUGGAAAAGGUGGCUAAUACCGCAUACUAUCGGAUGAACCAAUAUGGGAUUAGGUAGUAUGUGGGGUAAAGGCUCACCUAGGCGCCGCUCUCUAGCUGGUCGGAGAGGAUGACCAGCCACACUGGUACUGAUGCACGGCCCAGACUCCUACGGUAGGCAGCAGUGGGGAAUAUUGCGCAAUGGGAGCAAGCCUGAUGCAGCCAUGCCGCGUGGAUGAAGAAGGCUGUAGGGUUGUAAAGUACUUUCAGCGGGUAGGCGUUACCCGCAGAAGAAGCACCGGCUAACUCCGUGCCAGCAGCCGCGGUAAUUC
rnacentral:rRNA from 1 species